UGCAUUUACAGCCUAUUAUUAUCGUGAAAAGCAUAACUAUUAGUGUUUCCAAUGUGACUCAUUAUAGGUAAUUUAGAAAUAAAUUACUGGCAACCCCAAAAAAAUACAUUGACUUUUUCAUUGUUUUCUUUCUCCGAUUGCCGGGAAAAAAUUCGAUGGUGAUAAAUACGAUACGGAAGAUCUUAAAUUAUCCGUGAUAGCUACUUGCUUACAAAGGUUUUCAUUACACAAGUUUUCCUAUAAGAUGCAAACAUAACCUUAAAACAUCAGCCAGCAAGUUAUAUGAAACACAACACCUGCAUCAACAAGUAUGAAAGGAUCCAGUCGCAUUCCCGUUCAGACUAUCUAAGUUACCUAAACAGAAGAACUAAAUUGAAACCCAGGAAGGAUUAUAAAAUCUUGUCUUCUCGAAGCGACCUCUUCCAAGACUCGUCAGUGCAUAUAAUAAACAAGAUUAUUAUAUUUCAUACAAAAGAACUUUGAUAGAUACAUGUGACUAUGUUAUAAAAUGAAAUAAAGCUUCUCUAAAU